rnacentral:snoRNA from 1 species
UCCUUGGGUUCAUACGCGUGAUGAUUGGGUGUUCACACUAUUGUGUGAGAUGUGCCUCCCUCUAAACCUUGUUACGACAUGGGCACAUUACCCGUCUGAC